rnacentral:rRNA from 1 species
UACGGGGGGGGCAAGCGUUGUUCGGAAUUACUGGGCGUAAAGGGCUCGUAGGCGGCCAACUAAGUCAGACGUGAAAUCCCCAGGCUCAACCUGGGAACUGCGUCUGAUACUGGAUGGCUUGAAUCCGGGAGAGGGAUGCAGAAUUCCAGGUGUAGCGGUGAAAUGCGUAGAUAUCUGGAGGAAUACCGGUGGCGAAGGCGGCAUCCUGGACCGAGAUUGACACUGAUGAGCGAAAGCUAGGGGAGCAAACGGG